rfam:Triticum aestivum genome assembly, contig: Triticum_aestivum_CS42_TGACv1_scaffold_471103_6AL
UAAGUACUCCCUCCGUCCGGAAAUACUUGUCGAAGAAAUGAAUGUAUCUAGAUAUAAUUUAGUUCUAGAUACAUCCAUUUCUAACCAUUUUUGUGACAAGUAAUUCCAGACGGAAGGAGUAUACA